AUGCUUAAUCGCUCUGGGAGGGAGUUUUUCCUUGAGACCGAGGGCGUCUUGAUAGCCAUCCAGGUGGCUGCCGCCACAAAGUGUUGCCUGUAUCUGUCCGUCCUAAUGGAGGCCACGGCUCUCAGCAUUGGAAAGUCCGUGCUGGAUGGAGCGCUUGGUUACGCCAAAUCCGCUCUGGCGGAGGAGGUGGCUCUGCAACUUGGAGUCCGGCGUGACCAGGUCUUCAUCACCAAUGAGCUCGAGAUGAUGCAGGCCUUCCUCAUGACUGCCCAUGACGAGAGAUAUGAUGACGACAGGGUUGUCAAGGUGUGGGUGAAACAAGUCCGGGAUGUGGCCUAUGAUGUCGAGGACACCCUUCAAGAAUUUGCUGUUCGCCUUGAGAAGCAGUCCUGGUGGCGUAUCCGUCGCACACUGCUGGAUCGGCGCCGCGUGGCCAAGCUGAUGAAGGAGCUCAGAGCCAAUGUUGAGGAUGUUAGCCAGAGGAACAUGCGCUACCACCUCGUCAGAUCCAAGCCAGUGUUAACAGCUGCUGAGCAAUCUGCCAUCGCUUCUGCAACAUUGUUUGGCAUCGAUGGAGCGAGGAAUGCCACCAAAUACAAGAAAUCAAACGUGGAUCUUGCCCAGCUGCUCAUGGUCAACAAAGAUGAGAAUACUGACCUAGGGGUGAUAGCGGUGUGGGGAACAAGUGCUGAUCUUGGGCAGACGUCCAUCAUCAGGGUGGUCUACGAGAAUCCAGAUAUCAAAACCAAAUUCCCAUGUCGAGCUUGGGUCAGGCUGACACAUCCUUUCGAUUCAAAAGAUUUCAUUCAGAGUUUAGUGAAGCAAUUUUACACGGCUGUAGGGGCUACAGUCCUGUUUGGAAUGGAAAUGACAACACCAUUUGAACUAGCUGAGAAGUUUGAUUGGUAUGUGAAGAAGAAGAGAUACCUUAUUGUGCUUAAUGGCCUAUCCACUAUUGAAGAAUGGGAUUGGGUUAAAGGAUUCUUUCCGGACAACAAUCUGGGGAGCAGAAUCAUAGUCUCUACAACGCAAGUUGAAGUUGCAAGCUUAUGUGUAGGGCAAGAAAGCAUAGUUUCACAGCUCAACCAAUUGUCUGCUGAUCAAAACAUUUAUGCUUUCAACCAGAAGGGUUGUCAAGGUAGAACCGGGUUAACUACAUCGAACACAACUAGUACUGGUGUAGAUAACAACUCCACAUCGUCUGCUGUGGAGAUAUUACCUGAACAGUCUAAAGGUGAUGACGGAAAGCAUGAAGUGAAAAACCGCAUCACUCGCAUCAAGACGAUGGUGGCUGCUUUGGAGGAAUCUCAUCUUGUUGGGCGGAAGAAAGAAAAAGGUGAAAUUAUCAAACUGAUUUCAAAUCGAAUUACCCAAUUGCAGGUGAUCUCGGUGUGGGGAAUGGGUGGUCUUGGAAAAACCACUCUAGUCAAGGACAUAUACCAAAGUGAAGAAGUCAGUGGCAAGUUUGAGAAGCGUGCUUGGGUCACAAUCAUGCGUCCAUUCAAUCUUGAAGAGCUUCUUAGGAGCUUAGUUAUGCAAUUAGAUAGAGAAUCUUCUAGAAAGAUGGAAGUGGUGGGUUUGAUGGGCAACACAAUGAAGAAAUUUCUAUUGAUGUCACCUGCAGAGUUGAUCAAGGAGUUGGCCAGACUUCUAGAAGGAAAGAGGUACUUCAUUGUUGUUGAUGAUGUAUCAUCUACUAUGGAAUGGAAUAUGAUAGUGCCAAUUUUCCAUGAUGUGGAAAAUACAUGCUGCGUCAUAGUUACCACAAGGGAAGAGACUAUUGCUAAACAUUGUUCGGAGAAACAAGAAAAUAUAUACAUGCUCACCGGUCUGGAAUACAAGGAUGCACGUGACCUCUUCACUAAAAAGGUAUUUAAGCAGAAUAUGGAUUUGGAUAAGCAAUAUCCUGAGUUGGUUGAACAAGCAGAAAUGGUCCUGAGGAAGUGCAAUGGACUCCCCCUUGCAGUAGUCACCAUAGGUGGCUUCUUAGCAAACCAACCAAAAUCUGCUUUGGAGUGGAGGAAACUAAAUGAGCAUAUCAGCGCCGAGUUGGAGAUGAAUCCGGAGUUUGGGACCAUAAAGACUGUCCUUAUGAGAAGCUAUGAUGGUUUACCUUAUCACCUCAAGUCAUGUUUCCUAUAUAUGCCCAUCUUUCCUGAAGAUUGCAAGGUUGGACGGGGACGCUUGGCAGGUCGGUGGAGUGCAGAGGGUUACUCAAGGGAGGUACGCGGCAAGUCUGCAAAGGAAAUAGCGGAUAGCUACUUCUUGGAACUUAUAAGCAGGAGUAUGAUCCUACCAUCUCAACAAUCAAUUCAUAGCAGAAAAGGAAUUAGUUCCUGCCAAGUCCAUGAUCUUAUCCGUGAAAUUGGUAUCGCAAAGUCCAUGGAAGAAAAUCUUGUUUUUACACUCGAGGAAGGUUGCAGCUCAAAUAGCCAGACCACCGUGCGCCACUUAGUUAUAAGCAGCAACUGGAAGGGAGAUAAGAGUGAGUUUGAGAGCAUGGUGGACAUGUCCCGUCUGCGGUCAGUUACAUGUUUUGGAGAGUGGAAGUCAUUUUUUGUUUCUGACAAGAUGAGGUUGUUAAGAGUGCUGGACUUAGAAGACACAACAGGUGUAUAUAGUCAUCACCUAAAGCAUAUUGGGAUGCUUCUUCACCUAAGAUACCUUUCUCUAAGAGGAUGUGAUGAUGUUUCUCACCUGCCAGAUUCAUUAGGUAACCUGAGACAGCUUGAGACACUAGACAGUAGACAAACCCUAAUACUGUUGCUGCCAAAGACAAUCAUCAAGCUUCGGAAGCUAAACAAUCUUCAUGCUGGCAGGCUUUCGGUGGAUGAGGUGGUCUCAAUCGAUGAUGAGUUUGUACAUGAGUUUCCACGGGGCACCCAAAAUAGGCCAUGUCUUUUUUGUCUCAUGCCGCUGCUUUCUUGUAUAGCAUGUUGUGCACCUCAAUGUGUGUUUCAUGGUGGUAACUUCAGCCACCGUGAUGCAUGCAGAUUAUAUUGCUGUCUUCUAUUGCCUGCUAUUGCAAUUCGCCUGGACUUGUAUGGUGUUCUAUUGCCAAGAGGGAUGAGGAAACUGAAAGCCCUGCGCACACUGGGUGUUGUGAACAUCGGACGACGCGGAAAGUAUGCUGUACAGGACAUAAAAGGACUCACCCAGUUGCGCAAGUUGGGAGUGACUGGCGUCAAUAAGGAAAACGGACAAGAGUUGUGUUCAGCAAUUGUUGGUCUCACACGCAUGGAGUCAUUGUCAAUCCGGUCAGAGGGGGAGCCAGGUUUAUGUGGCUGCUUGGAUGGAAAGUUCUCGUUUCCGGAGACAUUGCAGAGCCUCAAGCUGUACGGCAACCUGGUCAAACUGCCGGAAUGGGUCAAGGGGCUCAAGAAUCUGGUGAAGCUGAAGCUGCGGAGCUCCAGGAUACUAGAGCAUGAUACAACAAUACAACUCCUUGGUGAUUUACCAAACCUGGCGUUCCUACAUCUGUUGAAGAAGUCGUUCCAGCACGGUGAUGAGGUUUGUCUCAGUUUCCAUCGGGACAUGUUCCCAAGCCUGGUGGUGCUGGAAUUGGAUCUCAUAAAGAACCUCAAAUUGGUGAAGUUUGAAGAAGGAGCAACCCCAAAGCUGGAGCUGCUGAAGUUUCGAACUUGGGAUUCUGAACUCAGCGUUGGGUUGUUCUCUGGGCUACCAUCUCUCUGGAGCCUCAAGGAAUUUAUGCUGGACAAUGAUGACUACAAUGAAGAUUCCGUGGAGGGCUUGCGCCACCAGCUUGCCGCGAAUCAAAAUGGACCCGUUCUGAAGAGGUUCUGA
rnacentral:rRNA from 1 species